UAGGGAAUCUUCGGCAAUGGACGAAAGUCUGACCGAGCAACGCCGCGUGAGUGAAGAAGGUUUUCGGAUCGUAAAACUCUGUUGUUAGAGAAGAACAAGGAUGAGAGUAACUGUUCAUCCCUUGACGGUAUCUAACCAGAAAGCCACGGCUAACUACUUGCCAG
rnacentral:rRNA from 1 species